rnacentral:rRNA from 1 species
UACGGGUAGUGCGAGUGUUAUUCCCCUUAACUGGGCGUAAAGGGUAUGUAGGUGGUGUAGUAAAUUGAAGAUUAAAUCAUACUAUGGUAUAGAGAUUUUUAAUAUUACUAUUCUAGAGUGUUGUGGAAGAUAGCGGAACUUCUAGCAUUAGAUUUGAAAUGCGUAUAAACUAGAAGGAACACCAAUGGCGCAGGCAGCUAUCUACUAAAUACUGACGCUAAGAGUACGAAGGCAUGGGGAGCGAAUGGG